GCGCUGGUAGCUCAGUUGGAUAGAGUGCUUGACUACGAAUCAAGAGGUCGGGGGUUCGAAUCCUCCCCAGCGCGCCA
rnacentral:tRNA from 1 species